rnacentral:rRNA from 1 species
GACGAACCGUACGAACGUUAUUCGGAAUCACUGGGCUUAAAGGGUGCGUAGGUGGCGCCGUAAGUCAGGUGUGAAAUUUCGGAGCUUAACUCCGAAACUGCAUUUGAUACUGCGGUGCUUGAGGACUGGAGAGGAGACUGGAAUUCACGGUGUAGCAGUGAAAUGCGUAGAUAUCGUGAGGAAGACCAGCGGCGAAGGCGGGUCUCUGGACAGUUCCUGACACUGAGGCACGAAGGCUAGGGGAGCAAACGGG